ensembl:snRNA U6 U6 spliceosomal RNA
GUGCUCACUUCAGCCGCACAUAUACUAAAAUUGGAACAAUACAGAGAAGAUUAGCACAAGGAUGAUAUGCAAAUUCAUGAAGCGUUCCAUAUUAAG